UACGGUUGGGGCAAGCGUUGUUCGGAAUUACUGGGCGUAAAGGGCUCGUAGGUGGCCAACUAAGUCAGACGUGAAAUCCCUCGGCUUAACCGGGGAACUGCGUCUGAUACUGGAUGGCUUGAGUUCGGGAGAGGGAUGCGGAAUUCCAGGUGUAGCGGUGAAAUGCGUAGAUAUCUGGAGGAACACCGGUGGCGAAGGCGGCAUCCUGGACCGGCAUUGACGCUGAGGAGCGAAAGCUAGGGGAGCAAACGGG
rnacentral:rRNA from 1 species